ensembl:processed_transcript Gm12992 predicted gene 12992
CUUCAUCUAGAACCAGCCGGUUCUUUCCUGUAGCCACUGUCCUCUUCGGGCAACUCCAUCUCUUAAAGUCCCUGCAGUCUGCCCGCCGCCUGUCCCUGCCAACUGGUCUGCAAACGUCACAGAGCACCGUCCCAAAUGUGCAUCUGCCCCUUGCUGAAAACCCUCUUUGGCUCCCUGGUGCUGUCCGAAUGGUUUCAGAGCCGGUGUGGUUUGAGCAUGCUCCAGACCUUCUCACCUGGCCCGUGUGGCUGAAGCUGCCUAGUGAUUCCUUUCCUGCCAAGAGAUGCUGGAGGGCCGAAGAUGAAUCAAGUCAGCGAAAGUUCCACGGUCAAGUUGGAUGACUCGGUUAAGAGACAUGGCACGCACCUGAGGAAGCAAGCCGGGGUCCGGGAGGCAGUUCUCUGAGUCUGCAAAGCCCAGUGUUGAUGUGGAACUCGGGAGAUUCGAAGUUGCAAUAGCCUGCACCUGUAACUGUGAGAGCCCACGGAAGGAAAAAAUAAACCUUGAGGCAGUCUCAGGUACCCCAGGCUGACAACAAGCUUGCUGUGUAACGGGGGAUGGGCUAGGAAUCUGACCUCCUGUUUCCUCCUCCCAGGCCUGGGACUACAGGGUAAAGUGAGGAGCCCUCCAGGAUUGAUGGAGCAUCACAUGUAUGAUGCAACCCUUUCCAAAUUACCUUGGUUAAAGGAAAUAAGCUUAAUACAGAAGAAACUGUGAAAGUUCAUGUCCGAGCUGGGCUUUUUCACGGAACCGAGCUCCUGUGUAAAACCGUCGUAAGCUCAGAGAUAUCAGGAAAGAACGACCAUAUUUGGAAUGANNNNNNNNNNNNNNNNNNNNNNNNNNUACCAUGGUUUUUGACUUCAAAGGACAGCUGAGGUCUGGAGACGUCAUAUUGCAUAGCUGGUCUUCGUUUCCUGACGAGCUGGAAGAAAUGCUGAAUCCCAUGGGGACUGUGCAGACGAACCCAUAUGCCGAGAACGCCACCGCCUUGCACAUUACGUUCCCAGAGAAUAAGAAGCAGCCGUGUUAGCAUCCUUGUCAGGAUGCUGCACUGAUGAACCCAGAUAAAGGGAAGGUGAGUUCAAGAGUCUGGGAGGUUUUUUAGUUUGGCUGCCUGGUCUGUCCUGGGAUUCCAUGGUCCAAUCUGACCCAAUUCACCUACUUCUCCAAGAGCUCAGAAUGGCCAUCCAAAUCUCCCACUGCCAUGUCUCACUGGUCUUUUAUACCCUCUCCUGACCACACUCCAUAACAUUUUUUUUUUUUGGAUAGUGUUUCUCUGUGUAGCCCUGGUUGUCCUGAGACUCACUCUGUAGAUCAGACUGGCCACCGAAUUGCUGGGAUUAAAGGUGUGUGCCACCACCGCCUGGCCUGACGUCUUGUGCUGCCCAUACAGACCCCACCCCCUGCACUCAAGCUCCUCCCCAUACUUCCUCUGGGCACCAUCACUGCUGGGCUUAACUACCACUUAGUCAAACCCACAUGGCCUGUGCUUUUUACCACUGAGGGAGGCUGCCUUCUCAGAAGGCCCACUUGCCCUUAGUGCUGACCAUUUACAGGCAGGUCAUGGACUCCGGGAAGGGAGAAAACCAUCUGAUUUUGUAUUUCCAGGCCCUGUAGGUCUGGCUUAUGGACAAGCAGUGUGAACUCUAGGGACAGAUCCCAACAGACGCCUGCAUAGCUCCCAGGUUGGCCCAUGCACUAAGGAGGCCAGGAUCCACCUUGCCACACGUGCCACCCCUCAGCACCAUCUCAGGCACCUCCUGAGCUAUGACAAUUAGUGCGAGAAUGACUGGGCAUGGUAUUCCAGUGGCAUACCCCUGGUUUCCAGUGCAGAUUUUACGGUGACAAGAGGAUCAUGACAAGACCGACAGGCACCAGAACCCCCUCUGCUCAUGAAGAACUCACAGGCGACGCGGCUUCCAAAUGGCCUCACUUCUCCUCAGCUUGACCACAGCUUCUCAAGAGAACCCCAGAACCCCAGACUCUUGGGGACUUGCCUUCAUUCUGCUGGGUGAAUAUUCCUUUGGGAAAUAUUGCUUCUCACCACAGGGAAAACAGCAGGACAGAUGACACACCAGGAAAUGCCAUUUAGAUUCAAGCGCGGUGAAAUUUUGUCAAGCAAAAAUAGUCUUUAUUCAAAUUUAAUGGAAACAGGGGUCACUAUACUUUGCAAGACGGGGAAAAAUAAAAUUAAAAAAAAUCUUUCCUUUUAAUAUAAAACAAUAUAAUCACAAUACCAGAAUGUGGAGCUCCUACAGUGUUACUUCCUAGGGGCUACGCAGGGAUCCGUUUCUCUCCACUGUGCUAUUCACAACGUUGGUAAGUCCAGAAACAGGAAACCGAAGUGGUGGGAGACUGAAGACUUGCACUUUCACUACGUGGCACACAUCAAAGGGCAUCGAUUCAAGGGCAGACGGCUGAGCUCAGCACACCUACCUACGCCAUCACUCCAGCCUGAGAAGCCAGCCGUCUGGGUGCCGAGCUCCCUAUAGCCGUGGCCAGGCCUGAAAGGCAGGCGUCUGGGUGUCCUACUGUGAGUAAGGGGAGGUCUGAGGAGCUGCUUUCAGUAGAGCGGGAAGGCCUGGCGCCUGGAGGCUGACCGAGGAAGCACUGAGAUUGAACAACUGAGACACACCUUUAGGGAGUUAAUGUACAGCAGUGACGGGUGUUCUACUUCACUCUUGUGCUACGGCUACCAACAUGUACAAAACACUUCUCGGCAGUUCCAGCGUGGCAGAGCCAGUUAGGACCUUGAGUGGGACCUGGAUCUAGACCGGGAGGGCGACCUGGAAGCAGACCUGGAUGGAGACUUGGACCGAGAGCGUGUUUUUGAAGCCGAUUUUGACCUGGAGCGCGACUCUGCCGGGACAUUGGGUUUGGAUUUGGAGGUGGAUCUUGACCUGGCCCGGGGCUCUGGAUUGGGGGCCUCGCUCUCACCCUCUGCCCGGCUUUCCCUCUGGCCAGACUCUGCCUUGGCAUGUUCGCGCUCCUUUGACACCGAGCGGGACGGUGACCGGGAGUGGUCGGUGUCCUUCUUCUUCUUGCUGCUGCUGCUACUGACUUUGCUGUCCCGCUUGCUGCUGUGUUUUCGGCUGCGCUCGCUCUUGCUGCGGCUGCGGCUUCGACUUUCGUCCCUGCUUCUCUUCCUUCCCUUCCGCUUGUCCUUGCUGCGGCUGCGGCUCCGGCUGCCCACCUUGCUCCGGCUGCGGCUGCGGCUCUUGAGAAGGCUCUUCUCCUGGCUGCGGCUCUUCUCCUGGCUGCGAGCCCUGCUCACGCUCCUUCGCCUCUCCUCCUCUGCUCUCCUCUCCUGGCUCCUGCUCCGACUUUUACUGUCAUGGCGGCUGGGGCUGUGGCUCUUGGCUUUGCCGGCGCUGUCGUUGUUUUGGAGCUUGUCCUCGGCGUGGUCUUUACUCUUACUGCGGCUCUUGUCAGGGCUGCGGCUGCGACUGCGGCUCUUGUUGUCUUUGCUGGGGCUCCGGCUUUUCUCCUUCUUACUGCGGCUGCGGCUCUGACUGCGACUGCGGCUCUUGCUGCGGGAGUGGGAACCUGACCUGGAAGACAGAGGAGCCGGGUGAGUAAUGGGUGACUAGCCACUUUCUGUCAGGAACUGGAGAGAGCACGGGCAUGCGUGUGGGGCGUGGGAGCAGGGGAGCUGCAGGCCCACCUGGAUCGAGACCGGCUCUUCGAAUGGCUGCUUUUACUGCUACCACUCCGGCUUCUGCUCUUCCGGGAAUGUCUGCUUCGAGAGCGAGACCUGUGGUGCAGAAAAACAAAAAACAACAUAGUUUUUGAGACAAGGUGCCAGUAACCUUGGCUAGCCCGGAACUUGCUAGGUAGAGCAGGCUGGCCUGAACUCACAGAAAUUCACCUGCUUCGACUUCUUGAGCCCUGGGAUUAAAGGCGUUAGAAAAAAAGACAAUUUAAAUUGCCUGUAAGGGGUUUGACAUUUGCUCAGUGGUUUUUGGAGAGGACCAGGGUUCAAUCCCAGCACCUACAUGGUGGCUCACAAUCAUCUGUAACUCUAGUUCCAGGGAUCCAACACCCUCCUGAGCUCAGCAGAUACUAGGCAUGCCCGUGAUAUGGAGACCACUUGCUGAUCCUGCAGAGGACUCAGGUUUGAUGCCCAGCACCAACAUGGUGUUUCAUAGCUGUAACUCCAGUCUCAGGGGAACGGAUACAUCAUCUAGCCUUGGCAGGUAGCAGGUACACACAUAAUACAGACACACAUGCAGGCCAAACACCCCAACCCCAAAUUUUAAUUAUAUAAAAGAUUGUCUAAUUAUAUUAAAAAAGGCUAUCUAGAGUCAACCAAGACAUUCAUUCCUUCAAUGAACAAAC